UACGGGGGGGGCAAGCGUUGUUCGGAAUUACUGGGCGUAAAGGGCUCGUAGGCGGCCAACUAAGUCAGACGUGAAAUCCCUCGGCUUAACCGGGGAACUGCGUCUGAUACUGGAUGGCUUGAGUUUGGGAGAGGGAUGCGGAAUUCCAGGUGUAGCGGUGAAAUGCGUAGAUAUCUGGAGGAACACCGGUGGCGAAGGCGGCAUCCUGGACCAACACUGACGCUGAGUGAGCGAAGCCAGGGGAGCAAACGGG
rnacentral:rRNA from 1 species